UUUGAUAACUCUUCUCUUGUGAAUCCAGGCAACAAUCAAGGGGGUCUCAAGUUUUAAUGCUGAGCAAGAAGCACACGCUCUAAGGAAAGCAAUGAAGGGGUUUGGCACGGAUGAAGAUGCCAUCAUCGAGACCUUGACCAAACUGAAUGUUUCCCAACGGCAGCAAGUUCUGAUCACCUAUAAAUCUGCUAUUGGCAGGGAUCUGAUUGCUGACCUGAAGUCUGAGCUGAGUGGGAAUUUCGAAAGGGUGAUCGUGGGGAUGAUGACUCCCACCACCUUGUACGACGUGCAUGAACUGAGGAGGGCUG